UACGGAGGGUGCAAGCGUUAUCCGGAUUCACUGGGUUUAAAGGGUGCGUAGGUGGAUUAGUAAGUCAGUGGUGAAAUCUCCGGGCUUAACCCGGAAACUGCCAUUGAUACUAUUAGUCUUGAAUACCGUGGAGGUCAGCGGAAUAUGUCAUGUAGCGGUGAAAUGCUUAGAUAUGACAUAGAACACCAAUUGCGAAGGCAGCUGGCUACACGAAUAUUGACACUCAGGCACGAAAGCGUGGGGAGCAAGACGG
rnacentral:rRNA from 1 species